CAACAGGGAUUGCCCUAGUAACGGCGAGUGAAGCGGCAACAGCUCAAAUUUGAAAUCUGGCUCUCGGGCCCGAGUUGUAAUUUGUAGAGGAUGCUUUUGAUGCGGUGCCUUCCGAGUUCCCUGGAACGGGACGCCAUAGAGGGUGAGAGCCCCGUCUGGUUGGAUGCCAAAUCUCUGUAAAGCUCCUUCAACGAGUCGAGUAGUUUGGGAAUGCUGCUCUAAAUGGGAGGUAUAUGUCUUCUAAAGCUAAAUACCGGCCAGAGACCGAUAGCGCACAAGUAGAGUGAUCGAAAGAUGAAAAGCACUUUGAAAAGAGAGUUAAAAAGUACGUGAAAUUGUUGAAAGGGAAGCGUUUAUGACCAGACUUGGGCUUGGUUGAUCAUCUGGGGUUCUCCCCAGUGCACUCUUCCAGUCCAGGCCAGCAUCAGUUUUCCCCGGGGGAUAAAGGCGGCGGGAAUGUGGCUCUCUUCGGGGAGUGUUAUAGCCCACCGUGUAAUACCCUGGGGGGGACUGAGGUUCGCGCAUCUGCAAGGAU
rnacentral:rRNA from 2 species